rnacentral:rRNA from 1 species
UAAACGACUCUCGGCAACGGAUAUCUCGGCUCUCGCAUCGAUGAAGAACGUAGCGAAAUGCGAUACUUGGUGUGAAUUGCAGAAUCCCGUGAACCAUCGAGUCUUUGAACGCAAGUUGCGCCCGAAGCCAUUAGGCCGAGGCACACCUGCCUAUGCGUCACAU